ensembl:lncRNA
AAAAAAAAAAAAAAAAAAGGAAAAAAAAUGCCAUGAACACAUUCCCCUUGCAUGCCCUUUCUCAGGCUCUUCCUUUUGGCUCUCAUGUUGAUAGCUUCGAAUUGUUUCCUUCCAGAUUUCUUCUUUGCUACAUUUCCUAUGAGGCAAUUGACUGGGGGUUUAGCUACUAUUAGAAAAUGAAAGACAGCAAGAUAAUUAGGAAUCAGGAUGUCAGAGAGGAAGAAUUAUUUGCUGAGUGAUAUAUUGAUGAAUAAUUUUAUAUUAAUGUUCCUGCACACACUGAGGUCAUAUUACUAACAAGAAGUUCAUACCAACGCAGUUCAGAAAGAAGCUUUGUUCUAAUUAUGUUUGUAUAGGUGCAUACUACAACUGAGUAGCAUCAAGCUAUUUGCCAUAUGCUUGUCUGAUUUCUCCUACCACAAGAGUUUAGUUUAAAAAUUCUGUUUUCUUCUGCCACAUUUAUUUAAUUUAUGUGUAAAAUUUGUAAAAUAGACCCAUUAGAAAAUGAAUCCUUAAAGCAUCUUACAAGAUCUAUAACAAAAAAUAUUCACCAAUGGACUCCCCUCUGCUACUUGUAUUUAUACUGCUGUGGUGCCUGAGGCCCCAGCUGAGAUCAAGGCCCCAGUGGUGGCCAGUGUACAACUAGAUAAUGAGAGACAGGUUUCCCUCAGUGCCCCACAAUAACAAAAAAAAAAUUAAAUAGGCUGAGAAAAGAUGGCCGAAGAAAUAGAUAUCAGAAAAGAGCCCACUUCUCCUGUUUCUAAGUCAAGGACCUCAUCAAGGAGACCAUUUAAGCAUGUAUCCAAAAUAUUAUUGUGAGGUACCCAUCAGGAAAGAAACUUAGAAGAUCCUGACACAGGAGCGCUGACAGCCACAGGGCACAGAGGCAGCAAGUUCCUAAGUCACAUCUUUCCUGUCAAAUGUCUGAAAUGUGAGUUUGUGAACAAAAAUAGGUUCUCGCUUCUCUCAGCCACUGUUUCAUAGUGAAAGAAGCUGGUCCCAAUCCGAGUGAGACGCUGUACACCAAAAUUGUUGAUCUUAGCUGGUGUGGCAAUACAUUGCAUCAGACAAGAGCAGAAAGGUAACCUCCAGACUAUCUUCAAGGACUAUGAGGUCUGUAAAGCUCAUGUUACUAACAAGACAUCAUUACUAAUUUUUUCCACUGCUUAGUUUUGAUUUAGAAAAUCAUUUGUAGACAAUGAUAAUUCAUCUACUUAAGUUCUUAAAUAGAAACCCACAAGUUGUGCAAUUGAUUCUGUCAUGCCUGAGACAACAAGGCUGCCUUAAGAUUUAUCUCAAAAGAUUAUAACAUAUAAUUGGCAAAAUAUCAAUUCCUUAUUAUACCUAUUCACUGGGGAAAAUUAAAAAAGCUAUGUUAAAUUGGAGUAAAGGUCAACCACGCAUAACAGCAAUUUGGUGUGAUACCAAUAUUAUUACAAAUAUUUUAUCACAAAAGCAAAUCUAUUAAACUCCAAAAGGUCAAAUUUAAUAUUAAAUUUGCAGAAAAUGAUCAUAUAUUUAUUGCAUAGAAAUUCCAUGUAAUUUCUGUAAUUGGGCUCUGCUCACUUUCAGAAAAAAAAAACUAAUGUGAAAUAUAUCAUAAGUCAUCAUCAAAUGUUAUCAUUUGCUCUCAGUAGGAUGUUUGUACUGUCUAGAAGACUUCUCAUUUUACCGGGAUAAUCAGAGAAAGGAGUAGUCUUCCAUGUGAGAGAAGACUCAAAGAGCUUUACUUGUUUAAUGAGAGUGAAUUAAGCAAGAUUUAGUGAGGAAGAGGAUAUAAUUGUUCUUUAUAAACAUUACAGUUUACAGACAGUUAGAAUAAAACAAUAAGAAAGAAUGGUAAUAAAUUGUCCAUUAGUGAACUUAGUUGUAAGUUUUCCUAGCUGUCAGUGAAGUCACAUUCCAAAAGAAGUUUGUAUUUGUAAAAUGAAAACUGCAAGCUUAACUACCUUUAAGAUAAAGAUUGGUAAAUUCAUUGGAUGAAUUAAAAUAUGGGGUUUUCUGUGACAGUAGUGACCUGAGCUAAAUAACGCAGAUCUUUCUCCUUGUCCACAAUACAGCUAGUACCAACAGCUGUUUUGCAGGAGAGCAAAGCAAGAAUUCUUCUUUGUUAAUAUCUGCCAAGGCUUCAUAGCUUUUGAAUUAGAUGUUUUUUAAAAGAACAUGGUCAUUCAACUGUGUACAAAUUAAUACUUCAUCAUGACUGAGAUCAAUAUGAAAUGGCAACCAGUCUGAGAUGUGGAAUUUGUGUGGCAUUCCCUGGGGGAUUCUCUGUGUUUGCUCUUUUGGCAGCUUCUAGAACAGAAGGAACUUUCAGUUACUAAGAAAAACAUGGGAGAAAAAAAAAUGACCAUGAGGCCCAUUAAAUGGAUUCAAAUAUAGCCCUUGUAUAAGAUUCCCAUGAAUUUUAAUUUAAUGGAGAAUGUCUGUAAGAUUCUAUUUACCAUUUCAGGAUGAGGAAAGUGAGAUGUGGAAGGCAAAAUGUAUUGAAGAAUCUAUUCCUUCUUUAUUUUAAGUUCCACAAGAUGAAUUCCUUUCCCUGUAAGUUUUUGAAAAUUAAUUCUGCCAUCAAAAAGCGCAGCAUUUACAGAGAGAAAGAUUUAACAAGCACAAGAAAAUUAACAAAUCUCCGCUCAUAUGAAACAUUCAACAGUAAACAUGUAAUAGUGAAAAGCAUUUUCAUGACGUGGGCCUUUAAGUGCAUUUGACGUUCACGAAGAAUAGAGACCCCAAGCUUCCCAUGUGACUUUUUAAAGCAGCUUUCAAUAAAGAACAAAAAUAGCCUUUUGCCUUAUAGCUUUCUUACUGAAUGACAACUCCAUGUAUUUGUUGCCUUGCUGUUUUGCUUUUACUGUAAAAUAUAGCGGCCAUCCCCCAGUCUUCUUAAUUAGGUCUUACUGAUUUCAAGAGGGAUUUUUUUUUUCACUGCAAGCCCUACAGUGAAACAUUCUGAAAAAGAGUAAAAGAGAAUAAGAAAAGUGAGCAAAUUAAGUUCAUCUGUUCUCAGAUUGUCCCCUGAUUCCUUGCAGCCUAUCCAUAGAGAAGUACCCCAUUCUUCCUGAAAACUCUGAACAUUACAACCAUCUAUGCACUAUAAUGGGAGAAAUCAAGUCAUAGCCUUGUGAAUAAUGCUAUUGACAUCAACAUGAAGAUUGCAUUUCUUUUUUUCUCUGCAAACUUUGCUAUAACUAUUGAGAUGUUGUUCAUUUUGUGGGGUGACAGCUGUGCAUGGCCAUCCAGAACACUUGCAUUUCACAUCGCUGAUGCCACUGCUGUAACGCACCACCCACUGCCUCAGUGCUACAUCCACUGUUUGGUCUGCGUAAACGUUCAGCAAUCGUCAAUGAAUGUCAGUGGCUGCUAUUUAUUCUGUGUGGAGGAAUUCAAUUACAGACCUUUGCUUCAUAUGCACUUCCAUGUCAGAUGUCAUUGUGACAUACUGCUCCUCUGCUGCCAUCUAUCACACAGCAACAAAAUGUAAUGGAAUAUUGGCAGAAAGAUUCAUCUUCUACUGCCAUACCACCAAUAUCAGCCUCUGACACCACAGGCCAACAUAAUAAACUCAGAGGCAUUACUUUCAGAGCAGCCCUCAUAAAAUUAGUGGUUUAGUAUUAGUACUUAAAAGACCUAGAGCCAAAAAAUAAAAAAUAAAAGGGAGUAAGAGACAGAGGGAAUAAAAUGAAAUGUAUAGGCUUUUUGUGAUAUCAUCAUAGGUAAACAAAGAGUCCAAACAAAAGUAGCGAUUUGAAGCUGCCAAUGUUAAUUCUGGGGCGAGAUGUGAGGUGUACAAUAAACAGAGAGAGAAAAAGCAUUCAGUUUUCAAUCAGCUGCACUUCAUAGAUGUCUUCGGGACACUAGGGUCUGACGUACACUUUCUGGGUGUUAUUCAGUCCUAGGCAAGUUGUAAAGCUUUGUCAACCUUUAAUCUUCAACAGGAUAUUGGGUAUUCUCUUACCAAACCCUCACGGUGCUAGGACAUUUUUUAAAAUCUAAAUAGCCCUCUUAUUGUGAGGAAGAAAUGUCAUUUACCAAGAAUGGUGACUUGAGGUCUAAUAAAUGUGGAUGCAUUCACUGUGACUCUCUUCUAUUUUUGCUUGUUUGUUUUCUCAGUAUUUGUUGGAGAACAGUGCUUUUCCAGUCUUAACUGAAAUUAAUAAUGUGCUCAACAAUCAGUAGAAAUAAAGAAAGAAACAUAGACAUAUGAAGAGAAAGUACAAAUUUCUUUGUUAAAAAAAAAGAAAAAAAUAGACAAAAAAUAAUAUUAAAUAACAUUCGGGGUUUGACAUAGAAAACACUACAAUAAUUCCUCCGAGUAGGUAAGUUUUUCACUUCAAACAAAUGUUUGUGCACAAGCUGUUUCAAUGCAAUGUGCGAUAGUGUUGGGUGAGAUAAAUCACAGCAUACAUAUUGCAAAACAAAUCUUGUAUCAAAAGUUCUCAAACAUUUCCACUUGAGGAAAUAGAUUUUCUCAUGGAUAUCACUUUUCAUUCUUGAUUGUAAAAUAGCUGGUGUAUCUAGGGUAAUUUGCUUGUAUAUAAUAAAAAGUGUAAACAGGAAACAAUUGAUGCUAUUUUACAUUGUUUGUUAAUUAAAUUUAGCAGGGAGAAAUUAGGAAAGGUCACUGAAUGUGAUCUCCUUGAAACCUCAGAGAGGAACAGACAUGGAGAUACAACACCAUAGAAAGUAGUAAGAGCCUAUAAGAUAGUAAAACAGAUGAGGCGAGUGAAGAUAGUAUAAGCAAAUGAAGCACAGGAUACCCCUUCUACUGGGUUAAUAGUCUAUUAUUUAUAAGCAGAGAUUGGUGGAUCUAAAACAUUUUUUCUUCUCUUCAUACUGAGUCAAGGGAGUAGUAUUUAAGUAGCAAGGCCUUUUGUAGACAGAAAUGCCAUUUGAGAAAUGAAGUCUUUGAGUAUCCCGAAGAGCUGUACUUUUACAGUACUGCAAUUUUGCUUCAAGGGGUCUUAGCUUUUAUUGAAUGAUCCCUGGAUGGGAGUAAAGUAAAAUAUAGUCUUGGCAAGAAAAUGGGGUAACGUAAGAGAAAAAGACAAUGGUGCAGGAAUCCAUGGCAAAAAAUCAAAAGAGUUGUUACACUCAUCAGACUGAAAGGAGUGAGGAAAAAAGCAGUAGCAGCGGGACAUAUCUGUGAAAAUAGACUCGUCGUUUUUGUAUUCUGUUAUACCCAGUAAGUCAUACUGGCAGUGUUAUAACAAAGUUUUAGUCUUGACAAUUCAUUUACCCACAGUGACAUAAAAAAUGAAUACUGGCACAUUCCUUAUUUCUUGGCUCAUAUCUGACAUUAACUAAUUAAUUAACUAAUAAAAUAUCACUAAUUGCAGAGACAGUGGUAGAAGCCAAGGUUCUAGAAUAUUUAUUUUGAUAGCAGAUAGCACUGCAAAUCACUGCUGAGCACUAAGAUUGGAGGGUAAUCUGAUGUGUUUUGCAGACAGAAAUGCUUGCCUGACGGAGCAUCACAUUAAUGAGGCAAACUACGACUUUUGCACAGUGAAGAGAUCAAGACGUAAAUAUCAGGGUGUAACCCUGCAGAGGAAAAUCCUCUAAAGACUUGUUGAAAGAUGUGGUAUCAAAUGAAUUGCUUACUUCUUACAGACUGCUUUGAUAUUUAUUGGUUCAAAUUGCUCUACUGACUCACUCUUGCAUAAGCUUUCAUGCCCCAUUUUAAUCUUGACAUUUUGGGAAGCCAAUCUGAGGCAGUGUAAUGACUAGGUUUACAAAGGAUCAAAAUGAAAAAGGAGAAGCUGGGCUGUAAUAAUUACAGUCUGUGCAAAAAAAUACAUGGAGAGAACAGGGUAGGAAUGAUCAUACAGCAAUAAGCUGAGUGUUAAUGCUAAGGUAUUUAGAAAAAAGAGCACUCACUUUGGGAAAUUAGGCAGUACUUUGCUUGGAUUUUAAAGUACCAAGUAGUUGUUCAGUAUAUAUUUGUGCUGGGGGAGAGGGUGGAAUGAGCCUUCUUCUCUACACAAUCUCCUGAAGUUGUGUGGAUGAGAUAUGCUGGGGGUCAUCACUUGGGAAAUAACCUCUAUUCUCUCGCUGUCUGAAUUCAGGGUACAUAGGAAAAUAAAGGAAGAGGUACAAAAUGUGCUGAAACCAACCUUACCCCUCCAAAACACAUAAUCCAGCUUGCACCUCUCUUUCUCAUCGUUACAGCAUGUCAAAUAUAUUGCUCAAAACCAAGAGUAAUGAGUGAUAACGUGGGCAGCUGGUGAGCUUCAGCUAACUGCAUUCUACAGUAGUGGUAGUGGAUGUGAGAAAGAUAUCUCUAAGAUACUCAGGAAAAUUCUGUCUUAUUACAGCUUGGGAAAGAUGUGUUUUGAGGUAAAACAAAGCAGUGUGAGGCCAGCUCUAUUUUCAUGUCUCCCACUUACCUCUAUGAUAUUCUAUCUCAUCCUAUCUCCACUCCCUGAUAAACGAGUAAGGGUGACAGUCAGGUUUAGAACAAAGUGCAUCCAGCAUCAUUAAGACUGCAGGGCUAAUAGUUUUCCUGUCGUAAACACUUUGAGUAGGGGAAAAUACCAACAUGCUUGCAGUAUUAGUAAACAAAAGAUUCAAAGCAGACACUGAAGCCCACAAGGACAGUGAUUCAUUGCCUUAGGAAUUCAUGCCAAUUUUAAUUUCCACCUGAACAAUAACCAUAGUUGGUAGAUUGACUGUAGCAGUCUGCAGCUCCCUCUCUGCCACUUCUUGGUUUCAUUGUCUGAACAUGCUUCUCAGAGCUGAAACAGCGAGAAUGAAAUCAGAAAUAGCUGUGGUUAAUCCAUUCAUUUAGAGAAAGAUAUGUGCUCUUGCAUUCAGAACAAAUGUACCUUCUUGGGACUUUAUUUUCCAGUGUGCUCUUUGGAUCUUAGCUUUCAUUAUGCAUGUCAGAGACUUUUGUCUGUGUUUCCUAAUAUAUAUAAAUUGUCCAAUGUUGUCUAACAUACAAAUGUACAGAGUUGUCAGAAGGACCUGGAGAGUCUGAGGCAAUCUGAGAAGAAACACAGACUGUUCAGAAAAGCCCACGCAUCUGUCUAGAAUAGAUGCAGAAAGAUGCAGAAUUGUGUCUCCACUGAAAACAAAAAAAAAAAGGGUCUGUCGCAAGAAAAACUGAAUCAAAUUCUCCAGGAGUUUUUCAGUACAAUUAAGCUGUAGGAUAGUCCAUAUCAUAGGUGCAAAUCUCUCUGUUCAUUAUAGGACAGCUGACAAGGAUAUGGCAAAAGGUAAAACCAGGAAUUAUGUCUUUAAGGGCUCAUUGUAAUCUAAUUUUAUUGGUGGUACCCUCCCCAACAUAAUGAACUUUGAUGAAAUAAUGAAGUAGUUGUGGCGCCUGUGAAACUGAGCAGGCAGCUCUGCCAGUUAAAGACCUCCCAUGAACACAAUCACCCAGGCAACAACUCUGGGCUGCAGUGAAGCCAGAAACUGGCAAGUCAGCUCUUCCAUCUCUUAGCUCCUUGCAAUUCUGCUUUCUGAGACUUGGGGAAAGAAAAAAGAAAUAAAAAAGAGAGGGAGAAGAUGAAGAAGAAGAAAAAAAGAUCAUCCACUUACAUCUGUGGUUGAAGGAUAUAGCUUAAAAAAAAUAAAUUCUGUCAGAAUCCACUGAGUUGUUUAAAAUGACUCCAAGUUCGGCAGCCAGCAAAGUUACAGAAACCAUAAGGCUGGCUCUGCCACUGAAUAAGUUCAAAUAUCUAAGGAAAUGAAUACAAGGAAGACUUUAAAUAGCAAUAUUUUUAAUUCGGCAAGAUUUCCACCCCCUGCUAGACUUGGAGAGAGUGCAACAGAUGGUUACAGGAAUCUGUAAAUUUAUCAUUGUUAUUUUUAAGAAGUUGGAUCUGUGGAACACAAACAUUUAAUAAUGGAUAUAAUUAAAUUCUUUGCUAGUUAGUUUGACUCGAGUCAAUUGGCACUGUAAUGCCAUUUCAUUUACAUAAAAUGUAUAGUAAUUGUGGUUCAGAGAACUGUGAUUUUACAGAGCUGGAACUACAGAUGGAAUAAAGAUAAAAGAAAUCAGAGUUAACAACACCCCUAUGAUCUCAGAUAAUGUCUCAUAUUUGGAGUUUAGGUAUUCAAACUCUAAUCUCUAUAAUCAAACUCAGGUCCAAAUCAGCUAGAAACACAAGCAUUUUCAGUGUGACUAAUGACUUUGGGCACUCCAAUUUCCAGAUGAUUAAAUGAUGAUGUUUUCAAGUGACCUGAUUUUGAUAGUUGUUAUUAAAGCAAUUCUGAAAAUUAGACUCCCCUAGUGGUGGAAACCCCAUGGCAUCAAUGAAUUACAUGGAAUUUCUACCACCAUAACGAUGAACUUUUCUAAGAACUGAUGACCACGUUUUCAGUAAGUACAAAGCUACCUUUGAAAGCUUUACCUGAAGUUGAUCCUGAUGCUUAAUCUGAAAAUCAUCUAACUGGUCUAUCUCUACACACAAAUUCUUAUUUUGUUUGAAACUGUAGCACCUCCCUGUUUGUUUUUUUAAACAAAUAUCGACUUAUUUGAAGUCAAUAAGGCUGAUGAAAGCUGAAUGUAAUUGCUUAUUGGUAGGAAUUUUUAUUUUGAAAGCAGCUGUCUUUAAGAGGCUGCUUCUCAGUGACUCUUGAGAUAUCAGCUUCUGAAAGUAGACAAAUACAAAUUGGAGUAAAAUCACAACCAGGCUUACUGGGAAUGUUCAGCGUAUCAAUCCCCAUUAGAGCUCCUCAGGUUCUGGGUCUUCCUGAGGCCGCAGUCUUGUGUUCAUCGAUAAACGUGACAGUCACUCCCACACAAAGGUUUGGAAGCCUUUCAAGGGAUUAAAUCAUCCUUCUUCCACUCAGUAGAAGGUUCAGCCAUAUCAAUGUGCGUAUAAAUACUACUAUGUGAGUAUGCACAGGAUUGUAUGUGAGAUAGGAUACGGGUAUCCAGGAUUUGUGCCAUUCUACGAAGUUACAAAUUAGACCCAAGCUAACCAGAUUGUUAUGGAUCUGGGCCUAGUCAUUACACUGAUUUUGUGGUUACAGAGCAAGAGGUUGUGCCUUUUCAACAAUAUAUCUCUGAUUGCUCAUGAAGGCUUUUGGAUGAUUGUGGCAAUGGAUUACUGACUCAGUUUCUCGUUGCCUGCUUGUCAGAGAGAUCCAUUUCCUAUUUUUACUGGGACUACUCAAAUUGUCCAUCCAAAUUAAACGCAAAAGCAAAAUGUGCAGCUAUUGUGUAGGCUCUAAGCCAACGCUUGUCAGCAGUCAAUAGAGGAGCAGCUCCCAGAUGUCUCUUUUACCUGAAGAAACUAAAAGUACAUGGUGUCCUUUUAAUCUGGAAACAAAAGAGAACAAAGGCAAACAAAUGGAGACCAAAUUAUCUAGCCUUGAGAUCUGAAUUUACUCCAUAUUGAACUUCUGGUUCCUACCUAAUGAGCCCAUGCUGUUGCUCGCUAGUGAAUGAGAACAAAGAAAAGUGACUCAUGCUGCCUUGUUACUGUUACAUAAUCUAUACAAGUAAUUUAUUUUUAUGGUUAAUUACUGGAUUAGUAAGGUAUAUUGGAAAUGGAGAUGUGUAUAAUGGCAAGGAGAUGUGGCAGAAGGACUUACAGGAGAUUCAAAUGGUUGUCUGUAAAACUGUGCAAAAAAUAUCUGUCAGUACAUCAUGCAGGAAAAUCUCCAUAAAGCAUGACUGCUUUCAGGGUUGGUCAUUUGUGUUAACACCUCAAAGUGUGGCUGGAUUCCAUUCGGCCUCAGUAGGCCUUUGUCCUUACAUUAGUCUUUUUUUUUUUUUUUUUUUUGCAGUGACAAAACUCCCUUUAUUUCACCUCGGUGAAUAACUUCUGCUCUUACCUGCUGGGGAAACCUGGAGUCAGUAUUUGUUCCUUCUCACAUGAUUACACAGGGCCAUUUCUAUAGCCUCGCAAAAUCCCUGCUGUAUUAAUCACCACAGAGCUGUGAGAAUAAGGGAUAUAAAUCUUCCAAACCACAGUCAAACUACUAGAGAUUGGUUUAUGUCAUUUACAGAAAGGUAGAAAUAAUAAUCAUUCUGAAGUGUCUGGAUGCAUCUAACUCUGUACUAGAUAUGCAAGUAUGCAUUUGAAGCUGCAACAAUCCUUUGGUCAUCAAAUGACCUAGAUUGGGAUUACAUGCUGAGGCAUCAGUCUAAUAUGAAAUUACUCCGUGUUUUUAUUGUAAUGACCAAUUAAGAAUCAGCACCUCAGAAACCUCAGGUAGCAGUUUUCCAUGAAAUAAACAUCGACCUUGAAAAUGUGCCCCUUCUGAAAUCCUAAUGCUGAUGUAUUCUGAAAGGGUCAGACCGUCACCAUGGUGUUGGCAGGAGUGAGUUGUGUUUGGCUGCCGAAUGCCAAUACAUCCUCCAUGCCAAAGAUUAGUUGUGAGCAGGGAAGUUGCUAGGAGCCGGGGGUAAACACAAAUGCUCCCUGCUUUCCUUACAGCUCUGCUUCAAAGUCCUGCAGCACGCUCAUGAAUGUACCCAAUGCUCCUCUUCCCUCCUUUAACAACAUGUGGUACAUGGGGUAAGGAGUCAUAUUGUGUUCUUUUGGGUCUUUUUAAAACAAAUUUUUAUUUAACCUCUGCUUUGACCCAGCACGUAAGUGUGUUGCCCAGAUAUGCUCCAUUUCAGUUUAUUUAACCAGAAUGUUUGCUUACUCAGUGACCACUGGAGGGGAACUACUGCUCUUAUUAAUUCCACAAUGGGUAUUUGUUGCUUCUUGUUUUCUGACAUUUUCUUUAUGACCCUAAUUGCAGAGUUCUUGUUUUCAGAUAAUAAAUGCACGUGUCUAUUUGCUCAGGCAUUAUGCAAUUGAUCUCCAGCUAUUAAUUAAAGAUCUAGACUCAAUGUCUCUGAACCUGCCUCCGGAUAUUUGUCCUCAUUGUGUCAUACCUUGGGUGCACAAACAGGGAAACCACUCACAGCACUGCAUGCACGCUGCUCGUUCUCUUUAAUUACAAAGUCUGAAUUCUGGAGCUCGCAAAGAAGGAAUUACACGGAGCAAAGAAUAUUUUUCUGAUGGGAUUUUUAUUCUUCCUUCUUUCACUGGGCUGCCAGCAUUUCUCCCAAGAUGCUGACCUGCAAGCAUAAUGAGAUGUUUGUGUUGUUCUCAGCAUUACAGACCAAAAGGGGUUUAUUUUUUCCUUUAUUGUUGCUGCUGUUAAUAGCAGGGCAAAAUUCAGCUGACAUUACGAAGAAGAUGAAGAUUUCAUGGGUGAAAAGAGAAAUCUUUUUUUUCUUGGUUGCUUUUUCCUCCCAAGAGCCCAUUUAGGCAAAUACGUUAUAUGAUCCUGUGAACAAAUUGUUACUUUUCCAGACUGCUCUGUUUUCUGUGUAAACACUUUAAUGUAGCAGCGUACAAGAACAGCACUUUCAAUCCAAAACGCAUCAAAAAUAGACCUUCCAGAACAUUUGGAACUUGUUAGGCUCCAGAAGGAAAAAGGGAAGGAGAGACUGUGAAAAAAAGCUUUUCACCUCCUAACUGCUCUCUUUUUUAUAUUUCUUAAUGUUCUAAAAAUCCUACCGGAUUGCUAUGAAGCUUUUCAAAGCUCAGAACAGCAUGGGUCCCCAAAUAUAGCGAAGGCGCAGCUGAGAGAGGCAGAAAUUGUUUUCAGUCAAUUUAGUAAGAAGUCAUUACACUUGAAGAGAAAACCUAAUGAGCUUGGGAAGCCAGGAUUUGGUACCUACCCCUUUUAUACACUUCCUGUUCCCCUUAGGAAAAUCAUCCAGCCUCUUUGUGACUCAGUUUCCUCGCCGCCAAAUGAGAAUAGCAACACUUUCUGACCUCACAGGGAGUGCGUCUGAGAAGCAGUUGAGUACCUGGAGGGAAGGAGCUAAAAAAUAGACAUCUUUAGCACCAGCAGAUGCAGCGGGUGUACCUCACUGCAGCAAAUUUCCAGGUGAAGAGUCUUCUACUGGAAAAAUACUGAUUCAAUGCCACUGAAAUGCUUGGGGAAAAUAAAUGUUGUUUAAUACGUUAAAAAGUAGCAGUGGAUUUUGCUGUUGAGAUACAUCCAGGUUGGAUCUGUGCAGUUGGAAAUUACUUUAUCAGUUAAAAAAAACCAGUCAUGACAGUGUUGAUCUUAUCACAGCCAAGUUCUUCAGUGUUUUCACAUUUGAUGUUUCUACAACUUCUCUUUUGAAGUACUGCUUCACAGGAAAAAAAAUAAAUAAAGCUUAACAUUUUUUUUUCUGGCCCUUGAAAAAAAAAAAAGACCAUCACUAACCCACAAAAAAAGAAUGAACUUUUGGUUCUUAUCUCUCUCAGUAGUCACAGCCACCCAAGGAUGUGCGGGAGCAUUAUCUGUACGCAAGCUAAAAUCCCCAGGAGUGCUGUCAGCAAUCUGCAGUGAGCACAUGUCAAAAUAAGAGAUUAGAAUUGCUGGUUUGGUUGCAAGCUCAAAACGCUCUUUUUUUUUUUUUUUUUUUAUUUUAUUUUAUAUUUCCAUUCCCCCAACAAAUUAAAUCUUUUGCCUCCAGAGCUGUAGUGUUAUAGCUAUCAUCUCUUUAUGCAUUUGAGUUAUGAAUUGCGGGCAUCUCUGCCUGCUUCUUCUUAUAUUAAAAUGGGCUGCUGUAACCUCACUGUUCCAUACUAAGAAGAUACGCAAUCCUUGUGAUACAGUAUCAUAGCAUUUUGGCAUCAUUUCAUCCUGCGUAAGAAAAUGAACGCUAUGAGAACGUUGGCAUAAUCUUUUGGCUUCACAGGCUUGGCUGCCGCAGGCUCAGCUUCUGAAGGUUUAAAAACUUUUAUCCCAGUUCAGAUAAUAUUGCCAAAACUUGGGUUGUCUUCUAUAGAAAAUAAUUGCUUGUCCAAGUCUUUACAGUCUCUAUGCUAGUUUAAUAACAAGUAAUUAGUUGAAUAAGUCCAAUUAAGGCCUUUGUACAGAUCUGAGAUUGGAGUAGGACUGUAGGUCAAGUUUCAUUUUAAAAUCCAUUAGAAUUUCUAUCACUCCGUACACACCCAGGGCAAAGCUAUUAUGGGCUUUCCCAUUAACACAUAUGAUUCAUUAUUUGGACUUGGAGCCCAGAUCUAACAAUGUAUGUAUUUAAAUCCCUAAAGCAUACCUAGAACAGUAGCAUUCACUGUGAUCAGGAGCUCCUUUUUUCACCUUUCUCUGAUAGAUGUGCUAGACUCGGGGAUACCUGUGAAUGGCGGUGGAAAAAAGGUUAAAGCACACUUGUGCAUGUGGAACAGUGCUUUGAAACAAUACAUGUGAAUUUUACCUUAGAUGGUACUUCACAGAAGAACCAUAAAGUUUCAGUGGGCAAACUUCCCCACUGGAUCCACACCUAACCAGUGCUCCGUUUUUCAACAAGCUGUACUUCAGUUUCAUGUACUGUUGAUGUUCAUGCAUUCUAAUGGGUGACUGUUGCUCCUUGCUUUGACAAACUUCACUUCAGCUCUUGGCUCCUGCUUUGACAGUGCACAAGCAGGGAGAGCAGCUUGUACAGCUUUCUCACUGAAAAGCAACAUUUGCUUUUGAGAUUAACGGGCUGAGCUAGGAAAAUUUCACAGCCCUCCAGACAAAAUGUUGUCAAGCCAUUAUAAGUACAAAAGGUUGUGUGUCUGUUUUGCAAGCCAACUCAUUUACUGAGUGUCAUUAGGAGCUCAUACACCUCCCUGUUGUGAUGUUCUCAUUAUUAAAUUAUAGAGGGUAUCACAGUAAUUUGAGAUGUGGACUUUAAGUGUCAUUUCUAUCCUCUCUCGCUCCACUUGAUGGUCAGAGCUAUCUAUUCUUAUCACGCACAGACAAAUUUCCUCUGCUGUGGCUUUUCUGUGAAUGGUUAGAUUAAUUGCUGUCUAUCUUGAACCACUGUUACGUCUACUCAGAUAUUAAAAAGAAGUUUAAAUUCGAUUCUUUUUAUUUCAUUGGCACUCUGCACAGAGUUAAGAGUCAUAAUCCCAGUGGGAUUAGUGCUCACUAUGUCAGAUGCAGAUUUUGAAAAUUGUGAGAUGACAAUAAUAGUGAGAAUGAUAAUCGUAUGAACCGUUUCAAGCUACGGAGAUUCAAGAAAUAAUCAUCAUUGUGGUUUGAAUAUAGUAAGAAUUUCUUUUAUGACUUCAAGGUCAGUAUGAAACAGAAAUGUUAUGCAAAGUAAUGUAAAGAAAAAUAAGAUCAGAAGAUUAGCUCUAACUGUCAGAACAAAAGUUCAUUCAGCCCAAAUCCAGCAUCUUCAGAAAGCAGACAAAGAGAUAUCCUUCUCUUGUUACAUCCUCCCAGCUUUCAGGACCAGGUGAUACAAGGACUCUCUGGUCCAGAAAAGAUAACCGGACUCUUAAGAGCCACCGAUGGACUCAACCUACCAAAAAUGUGACAGUCUUUUAAACUCCUUUUUGCUUUUGGCCCCACAACUCCUUACAGCAGUACUCUCCAGAGUUCGCUGACAUGUAUUGUGAGCAAGCACGUCAAACACGUUCGUUGCUGUUUUGAAGAUUGCUGCCUGCAGAGUUUAGAAAUCAUCCCUUGAUUCUUAUGCUGAACAAAGAGAAACACAGUUUAUGUAAGGUAAACUGACAGCAAUCAUCUCAGUGGGUUAUUAUUGUUUGUGAUGCAUAAUUUAAAAGCCAGAUUUUCCAACAAUUUAUGGAUGCAAUUAUACAUCUAAUUUGCACAGUUAUUGCAGACACAUAUAAUAUCAGUUGCUUGCAUGUUCAGCUGGGCUAACGUAGGGCUGGAACAGCACUGAAUGAUCCUUUUGUACAUUUUUCCAGGGGAUUAUGCCACAUUUAGCAUAAUCUCUUCUAACAACAGUAAGUCAGCUCUCUAAUAGUUUCACACCAGAUGCAAACCACAUUGUUUUUCAAGGAACAAACAUCCAUUAUUGUCAAUGGACAUUGUUAUAGAAGAAAUCUUCUGACUUUGGAGCUUAGCAGAAAUGCAUACUGAUUUAAAAAAAUUAAACAGCAUGGAAAGACCAAGAUAUUCCUUUCAAAGCAUAGGUCACAGCAUAGGUACAACAUCUGACUUUUUUUGUUGGGGUUUUCAAGCUGACUCACUGCAAUAUACAGAAUGCAUAUGUAUAUCAUACAUAUAUAUGUAUAGUACAUAUGCUCAACAAGUUUUUACACAGCAAAGGCUUUGUCAAAUUGCUUUAGAGACCACAGCCUCCGAAGCAUGCAGGAGGCCAUGAUGCUGGACAGGCUUGUAAAUCCUUAUUUGUCACACACAGCACAGUAAAAAGAAGUGCUGCAAUUUGUGCUGUAAUCCUGCCCAAAGACAAGCCAGUAAUGGGGCCAAAGGUUUUUUUUUUAAUAAAAAUGUCCACAAAAAUUCAGACAUUGACUCAUUUUCAGGAAUAUGCUUCAGGAAUUCAAGCUGAACUCAUCUGAGCCCUUAGCUUUGCUCACUGGUCCAUAAUAGAGUAUGAAAUAAAGGGCUUCAGAGAGGAAUGGUCCCUCAAUUGCUGAAGAUAACUAAUUGGCCUAAUGGCAAAAAAUAAAACAAGAAACAAAUAGAAAAGAGCAAUUAUAACACUGCGGUGACUAGUCUUGUUGAUUAGACUUACUACUUUACACAGAGCAGCUAAACUGAAUUCUUCAUAAAAGAGACCAAACUGAAGUCUUUCCACUUAACUGUGUAUUACACUGAGUUAUGAGGAGAACCAUGAGUAUAAAUUAUCUACAAGAGUUUUUGUCUAGCUCCAUCGUGGUAACAGUAUGAUCACGUCAUACAGUAAGAUAUAAAUGACUCAUUUCAUUUCAUGGUAAGAUAAAUCCUGGAAGAAAUGGAAGCUUUACAAACUUGAGCCAUUCAUACGCAUUCACCUUGACUUCAUGGACUUUAAAACCUUUAAAAUAACUUUGAAGUGAGGUUAUUUAUAAAGAAAAACUACAAACAAAUUAAGUUAAAUUUACAAGGUAACACACAAUGGAUAUACAAAUAUCUGACCUGAAUGUUUGACAAAUGUAAUUCAAAUAACAAAUGAACAGUAUGGCACAAAAGGACAUAGUCACGAUUAUGGAGCUUAAAAAUAAGACUAUUUUUCCAAGCUUGUCUGCCUUCAAAGGUAUUUAAAACCUGAUUCUCCUCCAGCAUGUAUUAGUGUCAAUCAAAAUCUGCUCAGGUCAAUGGCUUUACACAAUUGCAAAAUUAGUAUAAGUGAGAGGACAAUCAGAGCUUUUGUAUGCUACAAAAAUCUCUCUUAAUAGCAACAGCAGCAGAGAAGAAGGAGGUAGGAGGUCCCUUUCCAAGACAGGCAGUGUAGACAAACAAGAAAAACCUGCUGAGCUUGUAAAUGAGGACUUGGAGGAGGAGCUGUAGCAUUAAUUUAGCCAUUAAUUCACUUCUUAAAAAUUUCCUCUAUCCUAUCUUCCACUUCAUGUGAUAUUUAGCAGGAUUUGGGUUACAAAUUUAACAUUACAUUGCAGAGAUGUGCUUUCCAUCACGACGCCCAGAAAGAAGUUAGAACUUUAAAAUUACAUGCUUGUGUGGCAGCAGUGCUUCUUGAUUUGUUUCUUGUGAAGCUGUGACAAAGAAGUGCCCACUUCACUCUUGGGCCCCAUUCGUGGCUGCCAAAUCCCAGACUGCCUUCUGCAGAGUGCAGCUAUGACUCCACCACUGGAGGCCUUGCUUGCCAGAUGCAUCUCGUUGCUGUUUGUGAUGGAUCCAGGGAAAUGUGCCCUCAGGUAACGUAUUCUCAGCUCUCGCCUCAUGUUACAGGGUUGUCCCCACUUCACAUGCACUUCGCACGCAGGCAUGUUUUUGCUGUUGGACAUCUCUAUUCUGUAACUGAACAAGGGAGUCAUCAGGAUUUCACCAGCCCACAGGGACUGUUCAAGCAGGUUGGUUCUCUCCUACUAUAUUGACCAGUUUUAAUGGACAAUGCAAGUAGGAUUAGUGCAUAGAAAAUAGUGAUGAAAAGGGAAGGAGAAGACAUUCAUAAAGCCUUGUGUGACCUGGCUUGUAGAUGUAUCAGAAGUGGACAACUGUUGUAGAGGAUCAGAUUUCCAGGUCACAGGAGCCACUAAUAAUUGGCACUAACCAUUAGGUCAGAAUCAGGAACAGAAUCAAAGGAAAAAAAAAGAAGAAAAAAAAAGUGGAAAUUCAGGAGAAUAAGCUUAUACUUCUUGCAGAUGGAUUUUCCCAGACAACAGAGAGUAAGUGUUUGGAGAAGGAAGGUGACUUAAGAAAUGCUUAAUUAACUUUAUCUUAUACCAUCAUUUCAAUGGAAAAGAGGUCACAUUUGCAUCAGUAGAUGUUUAAAGCUUGUCAGGCAGAGAGGAAAAAAUACUUAUUAAGGAAAAAAACUUUUGUUGAUAUAACUUCCUUAAAACCAUUGGGACUUUGCCAGCAGAUUAAGCCACAAAUAAUUUACCCAGAGGAUAUGAAGUCAACAAGCUUUAGAACUGUGGGAACAGCAAGUGCUGAAUAAGCCACAAAGUUAUAGAAAGAUCAGAACGUCACAAAUAAACACAGAUCAGGCUUUCAGAUGAUGACAUUGGAAGGGCUUCCUUUAAAUCCAGGUCCUUCUGUCACUUUGAGACACUGAAGCAGGAUGGCUUUGGGCAGUUUAUUCUCCUUUUGGAGCUCACAUUGCAGUAUCUGUUCUAUACACUGCUUUAGGGGAGCAGAACUCUGAUGUGAAAGUCACUUUCCAACUAAUGGAAAAAACAAACCAGUUUUCCUAUAGGAGAUAGAGGCCGUGUGUGUGGAGGACAAGCAAUAGCAGAGAAGUCCUGCCUAAGGGAAUCUUCUUUCUUCUGGCAGAGUAUCUUUGCCAGCCCAGAACUGCCCUGGAGACAAACUUGUUCAGACUCUCUCUGUACUGUUUUUAUGUUUGGCUCUGGGGAAAGGCAAGAGUUGCAGAAGACAAAACCAUCCACCUAGGCGAUGGCACUACCAUUGUUCUCAGAAGGACAUCCUCAGUCCUCACCCCCAUGCACUUGUAUGAUCAUGAACUGAUCGAGAACAGAUCAAGUCAUGUUGUGAUUUUCAGUAACCACCAAUAUUAAAACCUGAGUUUUCGCCUGAUUGUAGUAGGUGAUUACUUUUUUUCCCUUCACUUCCAAGAGACAAUAGAAAAUGUAGAAUUCUCUGAGGUUAAUUGUUAUUCAGAUUUCAUUCCCUUCAAAGCUCUUCCAGGCUGUCUAUCUUGGUUCAGUAGAGUACUGACAUCUUUUACCUUCUCCUAGUCUUGCAGACAAGCAGCAGUAGAUAAGUUUGGAAACACCACCUCAGCUAUAAGACAGUUUCUUCUUUCAUUUCUUAGCUUCUUGAGGCUUUAGAGGGGAAUCCCACUUCCAGACAGCUCAUAAAGUAAUUUGUGACACAGGAUGUCCCAGUUACUACAUAGGAAUGUUGAAAGCAUUUUAUUUUCUCCUCUUUGAUUUUUAUUGGUUGGAUUCCUGGUCUUUUGUGAGUAAUUACACCAUUUGCUUUAUGUCUUGCUUUUAUAAUGACUAAUACAAAAAUAUAUAUGUGCAAGCAAAUGGAAUUAUAUUACUAAGUGAUUAACAAUGAACAAUUAGGAUUAAUUAAGGCAAUUAUUUUAAUAAAUAAGAAUUAGCAAAAUAUAUCCAUAAACAAAACUAUGGCACAUAUUAAGCUUAGCUGAUGCAGGCUAAAGAAGUAGAGUUGUGACAGUUGGGAACAGGGGCAAGGAAGAGACAGAGAUGAUUAAACAGAAAUACCCAUAUAUAUAUAAAAGAUUUAAUUAGGGGUAAGGCAGGAGGGACUUACAUGGACUACCAUGCCACUUGUAAGGGUUGAUCUGUUAUCACUAGAAAUGGGAUUCAUGCACAGUCAUUCAUAUUUAACCUUUUUUUUUUUUCCCGUGGUACAAAGUCAGAAAGACAUUAAACUAUCUAAUAAGCAAGGGAAAAAAUAUUCUUUUCCAUCACUUUUUAGCAGUUCAGUUUUGAGGACUGAUCAUGGCACCAAGAUUAGAAUCUAUUCUUGAGGUUCAGAUCUAGACAUGAAAUUAAAGCUUUUCUAACCAAGCUUUGCACCAACAUCACUGAAACACUUUGACGUUUCUGAAUCAAUUCAUGUCAGUGUUCAUUAAGGAAGUUUUUACUAUGUGGAGUUUUGGAUAAGCUGAAGCAACUUAUCUUGUGCUAUUUUAUAGCACCCCAUAUCUCCUGAACUUCCACAUCACCACAGUACAUUGGGUUGCCGUGCUGAAGGGUGGUUCUGCUCAUGUGGCACCACAAGUGAGAGUUUGCCAUGGGUUAAUCUGUCCAAUUAAAUGGGUAUGGUCUAUUACUAGCCAUUGUUAACCUUUGGCAAAUUAAACAUCAACAGAAAGAUGCUAAUAAAGCUGUAAGCAAAGAAGUAAACUUCAAGAUUUGAUAUCCUAGAUGGUGCCAACAGUUUUCUUUCUAUAAUAAAGUGUUCCAAGUAGCCUGGGGUUCUCAAAACAGUAUCAAACCUCAGUAAAUUAUUGCUAUAAAGUUUAUAAUAAGAUUGAAUAUAGGAGGAAGUUUAAGGAGAAAAUAUAAGGUAAAUUAUAAAGAAGCACAGACACUGAGUGAAAUUCCCAGGAAUUUUGGGAAGACCUUGUAAUGUCAAAACAUGGUCUGUCUAGUCAGAUGAUAUCAGCCAGUAAAUAGUGUUUACUCUGGUGUAAAAUGAAGUUAGUUCUCUUUUGA